rnacentral:rRNA from 1 species
UUUCCGCCAGGGUACUACGAGCAUGGCUUAAAACCCAAAGGACUUGGCGGUGCCUCAGACACCACCUAGAGGAGCCUGUCCUAUAACCGAUAACCCCCGUUAAACCUCACCACCUCUUGUGAAAUACCGCCUAUAUACCGCCGUCGUCAGCCCACCCUGUGAAGGAACAGCACCAAGCAAAAUGGACACACUGCAAAACGUCAGGUCGAGGUGUAGCGUAUGAGAUGGGAAGAUGAUGGGCUACAUUUUCUAUGUAUAGAAUACCACGGAUAGCACUAUGAAAUAACGCCUGAAGGAGGAUUUAGUAGUAAAAGAAAUUAGAG